UAUACUUUAGUAUAUGAUGUACGGGAAUUUUUGGUAUUUCGGGAAAUAGUUUGAUUCUAUUAAGUAUAU
rnacentral:tRNA from 1 species